rnacentral:rRNA from 1 species
UACGAAGGGGGCUAGCGUUGCUCGGAAUCACUGGGCGUAAAGGGUGCGUAGGCGGGCCUUUAAGUCAGGGGUGAAAUCCUGGAGCUCAACUCCAGAACUGCCUUUGAUACUGAAGAUCUUGAGUUCGGGAGAGGUGAGUGGAACUGCGAGUGUAGAGGUGAAAUUCGUAGAUAUUCGCAAGAACACCAGUGGCGAAGGCGGCUCACUGGCCCGGUACUGACGCUGAGGCACGAAAGCGUGGGGAGCAAACAGGG